rnacentral:rRNA from 1 species
GAUGAACGCUGGCGGCGUGCUUAACACAUGCAAGUCGAACGAGAAGUGAAGACGGAAACCUUCGGGCGGAAGGCUUUAUUUCGAGUGGCGGACGGGUGAGUAACGCGUGGGUAGCCUGCCUCAUACAGGGGGAUAACAGUUGGAAACGACUGGUAAUACCGCAUAAGACCACAGCACCGCAUGGUGCGGGGGUAAAAACUCCGGUGGUAUGAGAUGGACCCGCGUUCGAUUAGCCAGUUGGCGGGGUAACGGCCCACCAAAGCGACGAUCGAUAGCCGGUCUGAGAGGAUGACCGGCCACAUUGGGACUGAGACACGGCCCAAACUCCUACGGGAGGCAGCAGUGGGGAAUAUUGCACAAUGGGGGAAACCCUGAUGCAGCGACGCCGCGUGAGUGAAGAAGUAUUUCGGUAUGUAAAGCUCUAUCAGCAGGGAAGAAAAUGACGGUACCUGAGUAAGAAGCCCCGGCUAACUACGUG